AAUGAAAAUGAAUGUAGAUGUGUAUCUGCUUCUGACCCAAUUUAUUAACUUAAUUCUGUAAAGGUAUAUCCAGUAGCCCAGCAAUAAAGUUCAACCAAUUAAAGCAACAAUAAAUCAUAUCAUCUUUACAUGCCAUAUAGUUAUAAAUUCCAAGAAGAUGUAAGUUAGUACAGUGUAAGAUAGGCACUCAAUACAUCAUUAUAGAUCUCAAUUUCAUUAGGAAACUUAAAGCAUUAAAAUUCAGCAAAAUUAGAAAAAAGUAGAGAAAUAAAAGAUUAAUUGCCAUAACCUACCACAAGACCUGUUAUAGGGCCACAAAGCCAAAUAAAUGAGGAA
rnacentral:misc_RNA from 1 species